AUUGAACGCUGGCGGCAUGCCUUACACAUGCGAGUCGAACGGCAGCACGGGUGCUUGCACCUGGUGGCGAGUGGCGAACGGGUGAGUAAUACAUCGGAACAUGUCCUGUAGUGGGGGAUAGCCCUGCGAAAGCCGGAUUAAUACCGCAUACGAUCUACGGAUGAAAGCGGGGGACCUUCGGGCCUCGCGCUGUUGGGUUGGCCGAUGGCUGAUUAGCUAGUUGGUGGGGUAAAGGCCUACCAAGGCGACGAUCAGUAGCUGGUAUGAGAGGACGACAAGCCACACUGGGACUGAGACACGGCCCAGACUCCUACGGGAGGCAGCAGUGGGGAAUUUUGGACAAUGGGCGAAAGCCUGAUCCAGCAAUGCCGCGUGUGUGAAGAAGGCCUUCGGGUUGUAAAGCACUUUUGUCCGGAAAGAAAUCCUUGGCCCUAAUACGGUCGGGGGAUGACGGUACCGGAAGAAUAAGCACCGGCUAACUACGUG
rnacentral:rRNA from 1 species